rnacentral:sRNA from 1 species
GCCACUUAUUCCAUCAAAAUUGAGGGGAAACCAUACACUUUCCUGCUUGAAAAACAGUCAUUUUUACACCCACAUUUCCUGGUGUAUUUAUACAAUGAAUCAGGAACAUUGUAUGCAGAUUCUUCAUUUUCAAAGGGUCAUUGCUUUUACCAAGGAUAUGCUGCAGACAUUCCAAAAUCAGUUGUGGCACUACGCACCUGUUCUGGACUCAGGGGAUUACUGCAGUUAGAUAAUAUCAGUUAUGGUAUUGAACCACUGGAAUCUUCACCUACAUAUGAGCAUGUAGUUUAUCGAAUUAAAAAUGAUGCUAUUGGUCAUUCCUCCUUUCAAGAAAAUUAUCCUGUGGCUCAAUAUACAGAUCAGUCCUACAGGAUUCUUGUCAAAUCAGACACAAAUUCAGGUGCCAUGCUAUCGAAAAGAACUCUGAAAAUACAAAUCAUUAUGGAUAAAGCAAUGAGACAGGAUUUCACCAUGUUGGCCAGGCUAGUCUCAAACUUCUGACCUCAGGUUAUCUACCUGCCUCAGCCUCUCAAAGUGCUGGGAUUAGAAACGCAUGCACUCAUAAAAAAUGCUGUAAUCCUGCAGAUUGUACUCUAGUUGGAGCUGCAGAAUGUGGCACUGGACCAUGCUGUAACAAUAAAACUUGUACGGCUUGUCGCUCCCAAGAAUGCAGAAAUUUUAGUGAACUAAAUAUAACAAAAUGUACUACAAAUUGUGGACAGAAUGGGGUGAUCCUGGUUAUGCUCCUCCAGAUUGUGAGCCAGCAAUGUCAUCACCAGGAGGAAGUAUCGAUGAUGGGUUUUGGCUUACAAUAG